UGACAUCCUGUAUUAUCAAGCCUAUUGAA
rnacentral:piRNA from 1 species